UGCCCGGUGGGAUGCAAGCACCCUGCCGCAGGUGGGGGCCGCGUGCAGAGGGCGACGGGAGGUGCAGGGGAAGGCAGCGAGCUAACAGCACAGCACGGCCGAGAUUGAGAACUUCCGUCUAAACGAAGGAGGUCCCCGCACCCCGCAGCCCGGGGCCAGAGAAUCCCACAGUGUCACUUCUCUUUUUCAAGACUUCUCUGCUGGGAGUAGAUGGCAGAGGGGUGCCAGGGACGCAGAGGGGGCUCCCAAGCUCGUGUCCAGCAGGAAGCUCCACAGAUGACCUGAUCUGGGACGAGAGUCUUUGCAGAUGCAAUGAAUGAGGGGCCUCCGGGUGAGAUCAUCUGGAUCCGAGGGGGGCCCCCAUCCAAUGGCAAGUGCCCUGGGAGGAAGCAGCUGAGACCAUGGAGAAGACGAAGUGAAGGGGGGUGCAGAGAUUGAGCCACCGGCUCCACGCCCAGGGCUUCUGGGGACGGCCACCACCACCUGAGGCCGGGAAGGCAGGGACCAGAUUCUCCCUCGGAGCCUCGCGGAGGACCAGCCCUGCAGACCCCUGCCUCUUCAACUUCUGACCCCCAGGACUGUGACACAAUGCAGAAAGCAGGAAAAGAGGGAAUGUCAUUGCCUCCCAAGGACCUGUCACUGUUGCCUCCCCUGCCCAUUGGCCCACAGGCCCUGAUUUUGCCACACUGCUACGAGCACCAAAUGUGAGAGUAACUGUUUCUUUCUCGUCCUCCAGCCACCUUGGGCUUUACCAGAUCUCUGAUGCCCAGUUGGAAGAGGCAGCGUAGGACGGGGGACUCUGAACCCAGGAAACAGGUGAGGAGUUUCUCUUCUGGCCUGCCAUAGCCUCGGUCUUAGCACACCCACAUUACACUGGAAUUUUACUGCAUGUAGCAGCCUCCUUACAGGGUACAAACUGCCUGGAUCCACAUCGCAGGUCUACCCAUUAUUGUGCAAGCGUUGGUAACUUACCCAACUUCCCUGUGCUUCCGUUCCCUCAUUUGAAAAGUAAAGGGGAGAACAGUUCCUGCCUCAUGAGAUUGUCGUGAAGACUGGGCGAGCUGAUAGAUGUAAAGCACCCAGGACAGCGUCUGGCAUGCAGGGACUGUCCCAUAAACAUCGACUGCUCCUCUUACUCCCCUUCAACUGCUCCAUUGAAAGCUGCCUCCGCCACCCUUCCUUCUGUGACCCUAUGUCAUUCCCUUUGCUACACUUCCUGCUAUUUGAACCAAGUGUACGCUUAUUUAUUCAUUCAUUCCUACGCUCUGCGUGGGCAGGCACCACACCUGCCCUGUCAUGUUCUAUGCCCAGUGCUGAGUGAAAUACAUAUGUACUAAGCAAAUAACCGAGUCUCCAGCAGUUAGCUCCAUUUUACAGAUGAAAAGCCUGAGGCUCAGGGAGGUGUUAUGACUUAAUUGACAUUAACUGAGCUC